rnacentral:lncRNA from 1 species
GGGAGGAGUGAGCUACAAAGGUAGUGACACAAUAGGAAUGCUGUUGAAAGGUGGAUCUCGGGCUCUGAGAGCGAAAUUAUCGACCACAGUGAGAGGGCAUCACCUGGGGAUUUGGCUCCAUCCAUUACUGUUGCUGUUCUAUCACUUAUUGGAGCCACUACAUAGCAUCGAUCAAUGCCUGGAUCUAAUGAGCUAGGACAUCAAGUGACGAC